rnacentral:rRNA from 1 species
CCUACGGGAGGCAGCAGUGAGGAAUAUUGGUCAAUGGACGCAAGUCUGAACCAGCCAUGCCGCGUGCAGGAAGACGGCUCUAUGAGUUGUAAACUGCUUUUGUACGAGGGUAAACGCAGAUACGCGUAUCUGUCUGAAAGUAUCGUACGAAUAAGGAUCGGCUAACUCCGUGCCAGCAGCCGCGGUAAUACGGAGGAUUCAAGCGUUAUCCGGAUUUAUUGGGUUUAAAGGGUGCGUAGGCGGUCGGAUAAGUUAGAGGUGAAAUCCCGAGGCGUAACUUCGGAAUUGCCUCUGAUACUGUUCGGCUUGAGAGUAGUUGCGGUAGGCGGAAUGUAUGGUGUAGCGGUGAAAUGCUUAGAGAUCAUACAGAACACCGAUUGCGAAGGCAGCUUACCAAGCUACUUCUGACGUUGAGGCACGAAAGCGUGGGGAGCAAACAGGAUUAGAUACCCUGGUAGUC